GGGGCGACGCGGGCAGGAGGGAGAGAGAGGUGCGGGCGGAAGAGGACUCGGCCUUGACAGACUGCAGAGCGGCAGUACGAGAAGGAAGAAGAGGCAGAGCGGCAGCGACACACAGAGAAAGGGGAACAGGCGGCCUACGGACAAGCCAGAGUGUGGGAAGGCGGCGCCGGCGACGCCAGUCUUUAUGGGUCUCACUGUGUACCCCAGGCUGGCCUUGAACCUGAGGCAGUUCUCCUGUCUCAGCCUCCUGAGUGCUGUGAUGACUGGUGUAUGCCAAGAUGCCCUGCUAAGGAAGUACUUGCAGUGCACAAGCCACACACUCCGCACUGAGCAAGGCACUGAGACCGGACCUGCAUUCUCCAAGCUGAGCUCCAGUCCCCUUCACACCCUCCUGCACUGAGACCCGGGCCAUGGUUCUUCUGCUUUCUGGGUUUAAAUUCAUUCUGGUACAGGCAGCUGAAGGAGAUAAAAAUAUUACAGGCAGGCAGACAUGGCCUGGCCUUGGAGGGAGCCAGUGCAGAGGGGCAGAUAUCUAGCAACCUUGGAGGAGACAGACAGCUGUGCUGCAGGCCAGAUCUCAGGACAAAAGGCAAAACAAUGCAGCCACAUCCUAAGUAUAAACCUCAGGGACUGAUAUUCUAAAUAGGUAUCACCUGGAUGCCUGGAUCGCCUGAGGAAGCCAGAAGAAGCCACUGAUCCAAGCCCCUGCAGGCAAGGCCCUGCUCCCACUUGCUCCGUGACUGAUUUACCUAUUGAAUCCUGAUUUAAUCAAUCUUAGCUGAGCAAUUACGCUCGCAGUCUUGCUGGUUGGCCAUAGUUCUGUCCCACCUCAUGCCCGCCAGCUUUACGAAUUCCCAUUUUUGCCCACCUUGGACCUUCCUCACCUUGUGGUUUUGCUCUAUAAAAAUCUGUAGAGAAGUCAGAUGUUGGGAGCCGCGGCCGACACCGGUCGCUUUACUUGGCGGACGUGAGGCCUGUAGAAAGGAGCAAAGCCUGAGCUAAAUUACCCCUCCCAUCGAGUGAGCCAAGUUGGCGCCUGCUUCCUGCCCCCUGAUUGCCCUGGCGACUUAAACAACACGCUCUGUAAGAUAGUCUGCCUAGCAACAACUGAUGUUAGCCAGUCAGCCCGCAUCGCGCGCUUUAAACUGAUUGGCUACUGUUACCCUAUAAAAGUGAAUGCCUCUCCCGCCACGAGAGGAAGCACAGAGAGAGAUAGAGAAAGUCCACCGGCGAAAAAGGGCUGGUGACAGAGAGGAGGCCUCGCGAGGCCCACGCGGAGACAAAUAAAGGCAAGGUUGCACACCGCCAGACUUUGUCGUGUGUCUUUCCUGCCGGCCGGGAGCGACCCCGACAUCUGGUGGCCCGUACGGGGAAUUGAUCACUCCCCUCGGUGGUGUGCAACGCUCCAGCGUGGUGCUGCCGGACAGGUGAGUGGGGGAUAAACCUGGGCUCUGGGUGGCGCGCACCUACAGGGCUUUUAGACUCCCCUCAGGCUCACGCGUAGGUGACGGGUUCUUUAAGUCACACGCGGUGAGUAACAGCCCUUAGAGGUUGAGGAUGGGUAAUUUACCGAGCGCGGAGGCGCGGCCCUUGGUAAAGGCCCUUAGGAAGCUUUUAAAAGCUAGAGACCUCAGGGUAGGUCAAAAAACACUGGAACUAUUCAUAGCAGAGGUAGAUAGGGUGGCUCCCUGGUUUUUACCCACAGGGCAUUUAAACCUGCCGUCAUGGGAGAAGUUAGGCGGGGACCUCGCCUCGGCGGAAUUGGAAGGCGAUAUUUCGCCGGCUAUUCGCCCCCUGUGGGAAAUGAUACAUGCGUGCCUUGAAGGGGAGGGGAAGGGGUUCCCGUCGGCAGUUAGAGACGCGGAAAUCAUAGAUGCACGCAAGGCUUUUGAGCAGGCAAAGUCGGAAUGCUCUCGGGAGGGAUCUGUCCAGGGGGAAAAGAUCCAGAAAAAGAUAGAGGACACCCAAGCUCUAGAGUCCUCCAACUUAGAUAGCGAGGAGGAACCAGAAGGUGGGGCAGGAAGCCGAGAGGCCAAAAACCCCUAUGCCGAGUUGCGCCGCAAAUUGUGUGCGUGCGCCGCCCGGGAAAAGCAGAGAGAGGAGGAAGGACCCCCGAGCGCUCUCUGGCGGGGAGGAGAUAGAGAGCCAUCCGCUCCGCCCUGGAGCUCUUUUCCAAAAGCGGCUCCCCGCCAAGAGGCCGCUACGGGGAACCCUCCCUUCUCUCAGCCGGCACAGGAAGUGACGCCCCGUUCCACUCUGUCGCGACCACCGUCCUAUGACGUCGCGCCGCCGGGCGGACGGUAUUUUCAUGGGCGGCUACUCUGCCGAGCAGGCUGAGAAAAACGCCGGUCGAGGAAACGGGGGCUGGGGAUUUAGCUUAGCGACAUAAGCGCCUGCCUUGUAAGCAGGCAAUCGCGAGUUCGAUCCCUGGUACCGAUAAAAAAAAAAAAUAAGGGGCUGGGGAUUUAGCUCAGCGGCAUAAGCACCUGCCUUGCUAGCAGGCGGUCGUGAGUUCGAUCCCCGGUACCAAUAAAAAUGAAAAAAAAAAAAAAAAUAAAAUAAAAUAAAUAAAAAAUAAAAAAUAAAAAACAAAAAGGGGGAGUAAGCCAAGGCCUGCCUCCAAAGGCGCGGUUAUCUAUGGCAUGACAAUGGAUGGGCCCGGAUCCGGUGGUUAGCUGGAACCGAGGCGCGGUUUGUGUUUUUCCGCAGGAACCGGGACGAGAACCACUGUGGGUCCCAGAGAGGUUGACGCGACAAGUCCCUCGACUGAAGAUCAGGCCUGUUCCACCAGAGGCCAACCGCAGACCCAACAACAAGAUGAGCCCUAAAAGAACUGCAGGACAAUCCCUUUUUGGGGGCCUGGAACGGCUUGCUCCCCUAUGUGCUACCCUUGUUAGGCCCUCUAUGCUCCUUGUUCUUGCUCCUGCUUAUAGGACCAUGCUUGCUCCGAUGGGUCACAUCAUUUAUUAAUGGGCGCCUUGCGGCGGCCCGGCGUCAAGUACGCCUGGUUGCCCAUGCGGCCCUGGCAGCAGCCCGUGAUGGGCACAAUGACCCCCAGGCUUACGCAUGGCUCGCUCGACUGGCCUACGACCGGGUCUAGGUGUGGCGGGUCUUCCGCACUCCUUCCCUAUUGACACCACACAGCAGGGUAGGUGAGUCAAUGACGGGUAAGAGCGUGCCUCCCCAGCACGACUCGACCUAAGCCAGGCCCUACCCCAUACUGCACGAAAGCCGCUGGAUUACUAGAAUCUGCCCAGAUUUAGAUGCCUCUCCGAGGGGAUCACACGGAGGGGCAUGAGUGCAUGCCUAUGUGCAUCCAGGUUCCGUCCAGUUCACUCCUGGCCCUGGAAAAAGGACGAGGGUCUCAAGGCCUUGGCGGACCCGGGGGCGGCCGACCAGGGUCCAAGCCAAGGGCCUACGGUGGGCCUCAACACAGGGCAUAAGCCUCUGCACUUGAUCCAGGGCGGGCUGCGAUGCAUACAUUCAUUCAAAGUAAGUAAAAUAGGGGGAGAUGUUGGGAGCCGCGGCCGACACCGGUCGCCUUACUUGGCGGACGUGAGGCCUGUAGAAAAGGCAAAGCCUGAGCUAAAUUACCCCUCCCAUCGAGUGAGCCAAGUUGGCGCCUGCUUCCUGCCCCCUGAUUGCCCUGGCGACUUAAACAACCCGCUCUGUAAGAUAGUCUGCCUAGCAACAACUGAUGUUAGCCAGUCAGCCCGCAUCGCGCGCUUUGAACUGAUUGGCCACUGUUACCCUAUAAAAGUGAGUGCCUCUCCCGCCACGAGAGGAAGCACAGAGAGAGAUAGAGAAAGUCCACCGGCGAAAAAGGGCUGGUGACAGAGAGGAGGCCUCGCGAGGCCCACGCGGAGACAAAUAAAGGCAAGAUUGCACACCGCCA